GGASCGGGGCGAGCGUUAUUCGGAAUUAUUGGGCGUAAAGGGCGCGUAGGCGGCUUGGUAAGUCAAAGGUGAAAUCCCUCGGCUCAACUGAGGAACUGCCUUUGAAACUGCCUGGCUUGAGGCCGGGAGGGGGUAGCGGAAUUCCCAGUGUAGCGGUGAAAUGCGUAGAUAUUGGGAGGAACACCAGUGGCGAAGGCGGCUACCUGGACCGGUUCUGACGCUGAUGCGCGAAAGCGUGGGGAGCAAACAGGAUUAGAUACCCUGGUAGUCCACGCUGUAAACGAUGGGUGCUCGGUGUCGCGGGUAUCGACCCCUGCGGUGCCUUAGCUAACGCGUUAAGCACCCCGCCUGGGGAGUACGGUCGCAAGGCUG
rnacentral:rRNA from 1 species